rnacentral:lncRNA from 1 species
UGAAAAGUUUCUAAGAAUAAAAUGGAAUAUAUGGGAUAUCUUACCAAAUUACUAGAAGAGCAUUAUGAGAAUGAAAAUAGAAAUUUACAAAAAAAAGCCCUUCAUACUAAUUUUACAUAUAAGGAAAUAAUUUACCCUUGGUAGGAGGGUGGCCGGUACCUAUGGCAACAAAAGCCAGUCAUUUUAAAAAAUUUAAGGGCCGAGAUCUUUUUGGUGAAUAGAAGCAUUGCUCUAGAAAAAUAACUAUGAAACAGGAGUAAAGGAGACAGGAAGCGAAAACUAAAAAGUUUUUUUAUAAUCAAUAUUUGAGUAAAAG